rnacentral:rRNA from 1 species
GAACGCUCGUAGCAAUACGGGAGUGGCAGACGGGUGAGUAACGCGUGGGAACAUACCCUCCGGUUCGGAAUAACUCAGGGAAACUUGAGCUAAUACCGGAUACGGCUGAGAGGCGAAAGAUUUAUCGCCAUUGGAGCGGCCCGCGUCCGAUUAGCUAGUUGGUGAGGUAAAGGCUCACCAAGGCGACGAUCGGUAGCUGGUCUGAGAGGAUGAUCAGCCACACUGGGACUGAGACACGGCCCAGACUCCUACGGGAGGCAGCAGUGGGGAAUCUUGCGCAAUGGGCGAAAGCCUGACGCAGCCAUGCCGCGUGGAUGAUGAAGGUCUUAGGAUUGUAAAAUCCUUUCAGCGGGGACGAUAAUGACGGUACCCGCAGAAGAAGCCCCGGCUAACUUCGUG